CUUUACAGCCGCAGAUAUGUGUAACUCAGAUGGGAAUUAUCUUACUGUUCCACCCCGCUGCGGAGAUCUCGACGGCGAGACAUAACCACCGCUUCCUCCGCCUCUGUCCCCUGUGUCUGCGCAUGUGCCACCGUGUGAAACAUCUACAGACCGAGGAGGAUCUGGGGGUUGACGAGCUGUUGCUCAGUCGAAUGGAAGAAAAACCUAUGGUAGAGAAGAAUUUCCAAAGAUAGCAAACGCGGAGAAGUCAGUGAGCAACAUCGACAGAUAGGUCUCUGGAACCAGGACACGUUUUAACCAGCUGUUUCACCAGAUAUGGAAGACAGGGUGUUGAUCAUCGGAAGCAACAGGUCAAGGUUGCACAAGGAAACGGAAGGGAUGCCAGUCCAUUGAGGGACGCACACGCAGUGGCACUCUAUGGGCAAAUCAGGGACAUCAUUUAAUCUAACAGGACUUCUUUUUAACAGUAUUAUCCAGAAGCUUCCAUGCUGUCUAAAUACGAAGAUGCAUUUGAUCAGGAAAAAAUACUUUGAAUGUACUAUGUGGUAGAAUGAACUUCCCCUAGAUGUCAUUGGGUGUCUUCAAAUGAUGUCUAAAGACCUACCUCUUUCAGAAGUACUUGGAUUAGCUUUCCAGUAUUAUAUUCUUAUUUAAAAAAACCUGUAUUACUUUCUAGCAGAGUUUUUAGACUGAUGGUAUCCUUAGCCCUAGUUCUAUUGAACCAGGAUCAAAAUGUAUUCACUGAUGUGACUUCUAAGAACUGCCAGAUGCUGUAAAUGUAAAAUAUUUAAAUGUUUAAAUGUGUAAAUUAAUGUGUAAUAUGCAAAUGAAUGCAGAUAUUUGGCCAAUCAAAGCUAAAUUGGGUGAGACUUCAUGGAAACAUGACUGUAGCACAUAACCCAGUGAAGCUCUUCUUUUAGGAAGAGGACCUUGAAGUGCUUCUGCAGGGUCUCCAGGGCUGGUCAGGUGAAAUCUUCCCCCACCUUG